CCACUUUCAAUUCUUUUGGCCACUUUCAGUAUACCAGUUUGGGUAUAGCAACUACCAAAGAUCGCAUUUGACAGUUAUGGCAAAGCGCCACACCUUUGCGCGUCCUGAAACCUGACCGUCGCCAGCGAGAAAAAUCGCAUCGACCGGAACCAGAGUCUCAGGGCCGAUUGGGAGGAUACCGGAGAUCGAUAUGGCGGCAGCGGCGCGUUUUGGCGCUCCUGCACGAUCGCGCGGCCCACGAAACCCAGGGGGCGCGUCCAUCAACCAGGGAGAGUUAA
rnacentral:ncRNA from 1 species